AUUAACCUGAGAUGUGCGAUAAUUCCUGUUGUUUUGAACCUACAGAUACUUUAAACGGGAUUCCUAUAUCGCCAGGCGGCUGUCAAGCCCCCACCUCCUUGGAGGGAUUGGAGGGGAAGGCAAAAGUGCUGGCUGCGGUGACCCACCUAGCAUAGCUAGGAGUCAAAAGACAGGAACCGGCAUUUUGGGGGACAG
rnacentral:other from 1 species